AAACCAUUUUAAUUUGGCAGUAUUUUACCUAAUUAGAGGAAUCUGUCCUUUAAUCGAUAAUCCACGUUAAAUUUCACUUUAAUUUUAAACUUAUAUACCUCCAUUUUAAGAAUUAAUCUAAAAAUAUUUUUCUCAAAAAUAAAUAAAAAAUUAGGUCAAGGUGUAAUUUAUAUUAAAGAAUGAGAUGAAUUACAUUAAAAACAAUUUAAAGAUCAUUAAUAAAUAUAUUUAUUUAAAUAAGAAUUUAAAAGUAAUAUUUUAAUAAUAUUAAAAUAUGAUAUAGAUAAUAAAUAUGUACACAUCGCCC
rnacentral:rRNA from 1 species